AUGAUGAGGAAAAACUUAUUGGAAUUUAUGAUUACAACGUAUGAUACUAGUAGUAAGCGAUUUAUUAUUCGGCCAAAUACUGACGGCAUCACUGUGCUUAAUGAAGAUGUUUAUGACAUAUUCGGGCUACGUAACGAGGGUGAUGAUGUGAUUAGCAUGAUAGCAACAGUACAACUAGAUGCCAAAAAAAUUGUUCCGAAUCGGUUUCUAGACAAAAGAACAGGCCUAAUCCUGAUCGAUGACUUGAUAAAAAAUAUGGUUGAUAGUCAGUCAUAUGAUGAUGGUUUUGUGAGAAGGGUCGUACUGGUUCUUAUGGGUACAGUCUUAGCACCACAAUCCACCAAGUUUGUUCCUUAUCGUUAUUACAAAAUGGUGGAGGACGUCAACGCUACCAAGUCAUACAAUUGGAACGAUUUCACGUUGGGGGUGUGCAUGGAUGCUAUUAAAAAAACAGUCGAAGAUCUUGAAAAAUUCCAUUGGCCUAUCGGGAACUUGGCUCUUCUUCAGUAUAUAUAUUGGGAAAAACUUGAGCCAAUUGGUCUGGAUGCAUUUGAUCCCUUAUCUCGUGAAUACCCACUAAUGCUUAACUGGCCAGAAACGGAAGGGAAAAAGCGAGGCGACUAUGACAACAUACACGGGUGGGGUACCGACAAUAUUGAAAACUGCAUUAGCGAAGAGUACAGACGUGCUAAGGUUGCACGUGAAGGGACUGUCCCCAGAGGAAGAAACGAAGAGAACUAA
rnacentral:rRNA from 1 species